GGGGAAUGAGUAAAGUGGCGCACGGGUGAGUAACACGUAGGUAAUCUACCUUCGGGUGGGGAAUAACCCAGGGAAGCUUGGGCUAACACCGCAUAAUGCAGCGGCACCACAUGGUGACAGUUGUUAAAGCGGGGGAUUUUAGGACCUCGCGCCUGAAGAGGAGCCUGCGGCAGAUUAGCUAGUUGGCAAGGUAACGGCUUACCAAGGCGACGAUCUGUAACCGGCCUGAGAGGGCGGUCGGUCACACUGACACUGACAUACGGGUCAGACUCCUACGGGAGGCAGCAGUCGGGAAUUUUGGGCAAUGGGCGAAAGCCUGACCCAGCAACGCCGCGUGAAGGAUGAAAUCCCUCGGGAUGUAAACUUCGCAAGAUUGGGAAGAAUUAGUAGGGGUUAAUACCCCCUAUGAUGACGGUACCUUUUGUAAGCUCCGGCUAACUCCGUGCCAGCAGCCGCGGUAAUACGGGGUGAGCAAGCGUUGUUCGGAUUUACUGGGCGUAAAGGGCGCGUAGGCGGUCAGCACAAGUCAGUUGUGAAAUCUCCGGGCUUAACUCGGAAAGGUCAACUGAUACUGUGCGACUAGAGUGCAGAAGGGGCAACUGGAAUUCUCGGUGUAGCGGUGAAAUGCGUAGAUAUCGAGAGGAACACCUGCGGCGAAGGCGGGUUGCUGGGCUGACACUGACGCUGAGGCGCGAAAGCCAGGGGAGCGAACGGGAUUAGAUACCCCGGUAGUCCUGGCCUUAAACGAUGGAUGCUUGGUGUCUGGAGUUAUAUAGUCUCCGGGUGCCGCAGCUAACGCGUUAAGCAUCCCGCCUGGGGAGUACGGUCGCAAGACUGAAACUCAAAGGAAUUGACGGGGACCCGCACAAGCGGUGGAGCAUGUGGUUCAAUUCGACGCAACGCG
rnacentral:rRNA from 1 species